UCCACGCCGUAAACGAUGAGUACUAAGUGUUGGAGAAAUUCAGUGCUGUAGUUAACGCAAUAAGUACUCCGCCUGAGUAGUACGUGCGCAAGCAUGAAACUCAAAGGAAUUGACGGGACCCCGCACAAGCGGUGGAUCAUGUUGUUUAAUUCGAUGAUACGCGAAGAACCUUACCAGGUCUUGACAUCCCAUGCAAAGCUAUAGAGAUAUAGUGGAGGUUAUCAUGGAGACAGGUGGUGCAUGGUUGUCGUCAGCUCGUGUCGUGAGGCGUGCGGUUAAGUCCGCUAACGAGCGAGACCCGUACCCCUAUUUGCUACUUUCU
rnacentral:rRNA from 1 species